rnacentral:rRNA from 1 species
AGCUUGCUGUUUCUGAUUAGUGGCGGACGGGUGAGUAAUGUAUAGGGAUCUGCCUAGUAGGGGGGGACAACAGCCGGAAACGGCUGCUAAUACCGCAUACGCUCUACGGAGGAAAGCGGGGGCUCGUAAGACCUCGUGCUAUUAGAUGAACCUAUAUCAGAUUAGCUAGUUGGGGGGGUAAGGGCCUACCAGGGCGACGAUCUGUAGCUGGUCUGAGAGGAUGAUCACCCACACUGGGACUGACACACGGCCCACACUCCUACGGGAGGCAGCAGUGGGGAAUAUUGGACAAUGGGCGCACGCCUGAUCCAGCAAUGCCGCGUGUGUGAAAAAGGCCUUCGGGUUGUAAAGCACUUUCAAUAGGGAGGAAAAGUUAUGCGUUAAUACCGUAUAGCUGUGACGUUACCUAUAGAAGAAGCACCGGCUAACUCCGUGCCAGCAGCCGCGGUAAUACGGAGGGUGCAAGCGUUAAUCGAAAUUACUGGGCGUAAAGCGCGCGUAGG